CUGACAGAGGACUUUACCCGGGUGGUCAGGAGAGGCUACACUUCAGGCGGCCUUUGAUCCGAGCCCGUGGGCAGGCUGGGGACGUGGAGUGGCCUGCGACUGUCACUGUCCCUCAGGGACCUCCAGAGAGACCUGCAAGAAAGGCCCCAGGGACCAGCAGAUGGCAUAACGAUUAUGUCACUGGAUUCUCUCAUGGUCGCACCGUUCAAGUCCUGGACCUGAUGGCUUAAAACUCAACGCUGGGGCUUUCGCUACCUCUGCUCUCUCCUCCGCUCACUUUCUUGCUCUGUCAUGUCCUGCUCUGAAGAGACCCCUGCCAUCUCCCCCCGCAGGAGGGCCAGUCUGCGAAGGAGGGCAGCUCAAGGCUGUGCUGCUCUGCCUGGCUGCUGGAGCUCACCACAGCCCCGACCCCGGGGUCCUGUACCAUGCCUGGACUACACAGUACCGCCCAGGAGAAAGCCCCUGUGGAGACAGGCAUGCAGACAGCCCUUCCUCCUGGGUGUCACAGAAGCAGCUCCGCAUUCCAGUCUGGCUGCAGAGCACUCCGCAGGUGUGAGAGCUGGUGUGGUACAGGAGGGUGCUCGGGGGACUGUGUCCUGCUGCGUAAUUUUGGCGAAGAAAAGUUCGAAGGGUUUGGAUGAUGCUGAA